GAACGCUGGCGGCGUGCUUAACACAUGCAAGUCGAACGGACUUAUUUUAUGAAGCUUGCUUCGCGAGAUAAGUUAGUGGCGGACGGGUGAGUAACGCGUGGGUAACCUGCCGUAUGCUGGGGGACAACAGUUGGAAACGACUGCUAAUACCGCAUAACAUCCACGGACCGCAUGAUCUGUGGAUCAAAGCUUUAUGUGCUGAGAGAUGGCCUCGCGUCUGAUUAGCUAGUUGGUGGGGUAACGGCCCACCAAGGCGACGAUCAGUAGCCGGUCUGAGAGGAUGAACGGCCACAUUGGGACUGAGACACGGCCCAGACUCCUACGGGAGGCAGCAGUAGGGAAUAUUGCACAAUGGAGGAAACUCUGAUGCAGCCAUGCCGCGUGUGUGAAGAAGGCCUUCGGGUUGUAAAGCAUUUCAGAGGGGAGGAGAAUGACGUUACCCUCAGAAGAAGCACCGGCUAACUCCGUG
rnacentral:rRNA from 1 species